GAGAGUUUUGUNCUGGCUCAGAUUGAACGCUAGCGGGAUGCUUUACACAUGCAAGUCGAACGGCAGCACGAGGAAGUUUACUUCUUUGGUGGCGAGUGGCGGACGGGUGAGUAAUGUAUCGGAACGUGCCCAGUAGUGGGGGAUAACUACGCGAAAGCGUAGCUAAUACCGCAUAUUCUCUUCGGAGGAAAGGGGGGGAUCAUUUGACCUCUCGCUAUUGGAGCGGCCGAUAUCAGAUUAGUUAGUUGGUGGGGUAACGGCCUACCAAGGCAGUGAUCUGUAGCUGGUUUGAGAGGACGACCAGCCACACUGGGACUGAGACACGGCCCAGACUCCUACGGGAGGCAGCAGUGGGGAAUUUUCGACAAUGGGGGAAACCCUGAUCGAGCCAUCCCGCGUGUGGGACGAAGGCCUUCGGGUUGUAAACCACUUUUCUUAGCGAAGAAAAGUCUUAGGCUAAUACCUUAAGACGCUGACGGUAGCUAAGGAAUAAGCUCGA
rnacentral:rRNA from 1 species